GGUAUAGCUCAGCGAUAGAGGACAUGCUUAGCAUGCAUGAGGUCCUGAGUUCAAUCCCCAGUACC
rnacentral:tRNA from 1 species